UCGAUUUGGCAGCACGUAUACUAAAAUUGGAACGAUACAGAGAAGAUUAGCAUGGCCUCUGAAAAAAAAAAAAAGAAAGUAAAGACCAUUUG
rnacentral:snRNA from 1 species